GGCCAGGUGGUGCAGUGGAUUAACGAACUGGCUUUUAACCUUCAGGAGACCUGGGUUCAAAUCUCACUCAGGUCA